rnacentral:rRNA from 1 species
UACGGAGGGAGCUAGCGUUGUUCGGAAUUACUGGGCGUAAAGCGCGCGUAGGCGGCUUUGUAAGUUAGAGGUGAAAGCCCGGGGUUCAACCCCGGAACUGCCUUUAAGACUGCAUCGCUUGAAUCCGGGAGAGGUGAGUGGAAUUCCGAGUGUAGAGGUGAAAUUCGUAGAUAUUCGGAAGAACACCAGUGGCGAAGGCGGCUCACUGGACCGGUAUUGACGCUGAGGUGCGAAAGCGUGGGGAGCAAACAGG